rnacentral:rRNA from 1 species
ACGGAAGGCAGCAGUGGGGAAUAUUGGGCAAUGGGCGAAAGCCUGACCCAGCAACGCCGCGUGAGGGAAGAAGGUUCUCGGAUUGUAAACCUCUGUCCUAAGAGAAAAGCAGAAGAUGGUACCCAAGGAGGAAGCUCCGGCUAACUACGUGCCAGCAGCCGCGGUAAUACGUAGGGAGCGAGCGUUGUCCGGAAUGAUUGGGCGUAAAGGGCGCGUAGGCGGCUUUUUAAGUCUGAAGUGAAAGUCCUGCUUUUAAGGUGGGAAUUGCUUUGGAUACUGGAGAGCUUGAGUGCGGGAGAGGUUAUCGGAAUUCCCAGUGUAGCGGUGAAAUGCGUAGAGAUUGGGAAGAACACCAGUGGCGAAGGCGGGUAACUGGACCGCAACUGACGCUGAGGCGCGAAAGUGUGGGGAGCAAACAGGAUUAGAUACCCUGGUA